rnacentral:rRNA from 1 species
UCAAGUAAUUAAGUGCAUGUGGUGGAUGCCUUGGCAGUCAGAGGCGAUGAAAGACGUGAUAGCCUGCGAAAAGCUCCGGGGAGGCGGCAAAUAUCCUUUGAUCCGGAGAUGUCUGAAUGGGGGAACCCACCUACUUUAAGGUAGGUAUUGCAACAUGAAUACAUAGUGUUGCAAGGCGAACGAGGGAAGUGAAACAUCUCAGUACCCUUAGGAAAGAAAUCAAUUGAGAUUCCUCAGUAGCGGCGAGCGAACGGGAUCAGCCCAUUAAGUUAUGUGUGUUUUAGUGGAACGCUCUGGGAAGUGCGAACGUAGAGGGUGAUAUUCCCGUACACGAAAGGGCACACAUAAUGAUGACGAGUAGGGCGAGGCACGUGAAACCUUGUCUGAAUAUGGGGGGACCAUCCUCCAAGGCUAAAUAUCCUGACUGACCGAUAGUGAACCAGUACCGUGAGGAAAGGCGAAAAGAACCCCUGUGAGGGGAGUGAAAUAGAUCUGAAACCGCAUGCAUACAAGCAGUGGGAGCACCUUCGUGGUGUGACUGCGUACCUUUUGUAUAAUGGGUCAGCGACUUAUAUUCAGUAGCGAGGUUUAACCGUAUAGGGGAGCCGUAGAGAAAUCGAGUCUUAAUAGGGCGUUUAGUUGCUGGGUAUAGACCCGAAACCAGGCGAUCUAUCCAUGAGCAGGUUGAAGGUUGGGUAACACUAACUGGAGGACCGAACCCACUGUCGUUGAAAAGCCAGGGGAUGACUUGUGGAUAGGGGUGAAGGCUAAUCAAGCCUGGUGAUAGCUGGUUCUCCCGAAAGCUAUUUAGGUAGCGCCUCGGACGAAUACCAUAGGGGGUAGAGCACUGUUUCGGCUAGGGGUCAUCCCGACUUACCAAACCGAUGCAAACUCCGAAUACCUAUGAGUACUAUCCGGGAGACAGACUGCGGGUGCUAACGUCCGUAGUCAAGAGGAAAACAAUCCAGACCGCCAGCUAAGGCCCCAAAAUCAUAGUUAAGUGGGAAACGAUGUGGGAAGGCAUAGACAGCUAGGAGGUUGGCUUAGAAGCAGCCACCCUUUAAAGAAAGCGUAAUAGCUCACUAGUCGAGUCGGCCUGCGCGGAAGAUGUAACGGGGCUAAAACUAUGUGCCGAAGCUGCGGAUGUAUACUUUGUAUACGUGGUAGGGGAGCGUUCUGUAAGCCGAUGAAGGUGUGUUGAGAAGCAUGCUGGAGGUAUCAGAAGUGCGAAUGCUGACGUGAGUAACGACAAAACGGGUGAAAAACCCGUUCGCCGAAAGACCAAGGGUUCCAGUCCAACGUUAAUCGGGGCUGGGUGAGUCGACCCUAAGGCGAGGCCGAAAGGCGUAGUCGAUGGGAAAAUGGUUAAUAUUCCAUUACUUCUGUGUAAUGCGAUGAGAGGACGGAGAAGGCUAAAUCAGCCUGGCGUUGGUUGUCCAGGUGAAAGGAUGUAGGCAUGUAUCUUAGGCAAAAUCCGGGUACUCUAUGCUGAGAUCUGAUAGCAAGCUGUACUUGUACAGCGAAGUGGUUGAUGCCAUGCUUCCAGGAAAAGUCUCUAAGCUUCAGUUACACAGGAAUCGUACCCGAAACCGACACAGGUGGUCAGGUCGAGUAGACCAAGGCGCUUGAGAGAACUCUGCUGAAGGAACUAGGCAAAAUGGUACCGUAACUUCGGGAGAAGGUACGCUGUUGUUGGUGAUGGAACUCGCUUCCUGAGCUGACGACAGCCGCAGAAACCAGGCCGCUGCAACUGUUUAUUAAAACAUAGCACUCUGCAAACACGAAAGUGGACGUAUAGGGUGUGAUGCCUGCCCGGUGCUGGAAGGUUAAUUGAUGGGGUUAGCGUAAGCGAAGCUCUUGAUCGAAGCCCAGUAAACGGCGGCCGUAACUAUAACGGUCCUAAGGUAGCGAAAUUCCUUGUCGGUAAGUUCCGACCUGCACGAAUGGCAUA